AGGGGGCCAAAGUGCCAAAC
rnacentral:miRNA from 1 species